rnacentral:misc_RNA from 1 species
CAACCCUCUCACCUCCGGGUGUGGUGUUGGGGAUCGGCCAGCAGCCCCUAGCGGGCGGCGGCCGUCCCCUAAAUCUAGUGGCGGACCCGUCGUGGCCUCCCCUGCGUAGUAGUGAUACCCCGCACCGGACAGCGACGAGCCCCUGCCGUAAAACCCCCCAACUUCCAAA